rnacentral:lncRNA from 1 species
UUUUAGUUUCGCCUCUGCGUUCUUGGGUGAUCCGCUUAAUUAUGAUACUAUGUUUGGCUCUUUGGGUGAUUGACGCGAGCAUUCUCUCUCUGUUUCUCUCUUCGUUGUAGGCUGUCGUCUGCGCAUCUGGAGAUUCUUGGGUGUGUGGCUGAUUUGGGUGAAGAGAAGGAGGGUGAUUUUGGAGGAAACGGGAGAGGAGUUUCUACAUGAGUGAAGGGAAGGAGAGGGAUGAUGAGGUAUUAGGGUGAUUAGCGUGAUCUUCUAUGUUUCUUUCUGUGUUCAUUCUUGGGUGGUCUUUUCGGAUCUACAGAUUCUUCCGUGUGUGAUUGAUUUGGGGUAGGAGAGGCAGUGUGUUUGUGGACGAAAUGAAAGAAGAAUUGACAGUGAAAGAUUAACGGGCUGGAUCAUAUCUUUUUGGGGAUAGAGAUAUUCUUUGGAGGCUCUACAAAGAAUACGCCUUUAGGAGAGGAAUCCUUCUUGCUUGAAAGAAGGAGAAGGAAGAAGAGAGAAGCUUUUGUUUGCUUGAAAGAAAAGAAGUGGAAGGGAUUUGAACAAACAAAAACGAGAAGUGGUGGUAUUGCUCUGUUCUCUGAUUUUUGGAUUGUUGUUCUUUGCUUCCUUGAUGCAGUUGCCUUUCUCUUGAGGGUCUGUUAGCAGAAUAUCAGAAGAGAUCAGAAACGAGAACUUCUCCCUCUUGCCACCUAUCCUAUCUUUCAAGAUCAGGCUUGAAGUUUUAAAGUAGCUCAACUUCCCAGGUGUCCGCUUCCAGGUUGCAUAUAGCUUGCUGCACCAGAACCUUAGAAGCAAGAUUAGCAUACAGAGAGCUUGAACAACAACUUCAAUUUCAGAUAUUACUUUGUAAGUUUGAUGGAUGAAUUUGAAUUGAAGAUCCAAACAGUGAAGCCACAGUCAAGCUUAAAGGAAAACCAGCUGAACAGUUGUUUGGAAUAACUUGCAGAGAACUCAUAGACAAGUACCCUUAUGCUCCACAGGAAACAUUGCCACAAGAAAUAUUGCAAACAAAAAGGCAAAUUCACAUUUUCCAAAUCCAAAUCAGUGAGGCAAAUGACUUCAUAGUGAAAGGUGUCUUUCCAAGCACAAAGAAUCAACCAAGUGCCAGCACACCAGCUCAUCCACUUUAUGACAAAAAAAGAUCCGUCGAUAAAGGAAGAAGACAACUAUUUGCUGCCAAUCCAGACAAAAAGCUCCGCAGGGAAGGAAGUACUGAAUCAGCAACAUCAUCCACAAACACUAUGAACAAGGAAAAAAUGGAGUGAACUAUCAUGUCACUUUUUGUGUAAAUAGAAAUGGAGGCAACAACUUUUUGGACAACCUCCACAGCUAAUCAUCACUAGGCUAACAAGCUCUCAGUAACUGAUGUCACUUUUGAUAUAGUCACUAGGUUAGCCUAUAAGUAGAUCACUGUAUUUUGGAGAAGCUGUUUUAACAGCAUUUGUAAUAUAUAUUUCAACAUUACCAAAACACCUAUAUUAAUGGUAAUGUUAGCUCCUGAUAUGAAGCAUGAAUCAAUGUAUUUUUGAGAAGCUGUUUUAUAUAUAUGUGAACUAAAUUCUCUGUCUUU